rnacentral:rRNA from 1 species
AGUGAACGCUGGCGGUAGGCCUUACACAUGCAAGUCGAACGGCAGCACAGUAAGAGCUUGCUCUUACGGGUGGCGAGUGGCAGGGGGGUGAGGUAUACAUCGGAAUCUACUUUUUCGUGGGGGAUCACGUAGGGAAACUUACGCUAAUACCGCAUACGACCUACGGGUGAAAGCAGGGGCUCUUCGGACCUUGCGCGAUUGAAUGAGCCGAUGUCGGAUUAGCUAGUUGGCGGGGUAAAGGCCCACCAAGGCGACGAUCCGUAGCUGGUCUGAGAGGAUGAUCAGCCACACUGGAACUGAGACACGGUCCAGACUCCUACGGGAGGCAGCAGUGGGGAAUUUUGGACAAUGGGCGCAAGCCUGAUCCAGCCAUGCCGCGUGGGUGAAGAAGGCCUUCGGGUUGUAAAGCACUUUUGUUGGGAAAGAAAAGCAGCAGGUUAAUACCCAGCUGUGCUGACGGUACCCAAAGAAUAAGCACCGGCUAACUUCGUG